CAGCCGCCGCGGGAAAACGAAGGGGGCUAGCGUUGUUCGGAAUUACUGGGCGUAAAGGGCGCGUAGGCGGCCAUUCAAGUUAGGUGUGAAAGCCCUGGGCUCAACCUAGGAAUUGCAUUUGAUACUGUUUGGCUUGAGUUCGGGAGAGGUGAGUGGAAUUCCCAGUGUAGAGGUGAAAUUCGUAGAUAUUGGGAAGAACACCAGUGGCGAAGGCGGCUCACUGGACCGACACUGACGCUGAGGCGCGAAAGCGUGGGGAGCAAACAGGAUUAGAUACCCGUGUAGUCCCUGUCUCUUAUAC
rnacentral:rRNA from 1 species